GACGAACGCUGGCGGCGUGCUUAACACAUGCAAGUCGAACGGAAAGGCCCUGCUUUUGUGGGGUGGUCGAGUGGCGAACGGGGGAGUAACACGUGAGUAACCUGUCCCUGACCUUGGGAUAACUUCAUGAAACUGGGGCUAAUAGCGGAUAGGAGCUCCUGCUGCAGGGUGGGGGUUGGAAAGUUUCGGCGGUUGGGGAUGGACUCGCGGCUUAUCGGCUUGAUGGUGGGGUAGUGGCUUACCAAGGCUAUGAAGGGUAGCCGGCCUGAGAGGGUGACCGGACACAUUGGGCCUGGACUGAGACCCGGACUAGAACCGGAGGCGACAGAGGAGAAUAUUGCAUAGUGGGCGGGAGCCAGAUCCAACCACGCCACGUGCGGUAAGACGUGCAUCGCGUAGUGUACCACUUUCGCCUUAGACGAGACGUUAAUGACGGUAAUGGGUAAAGAAGCACCGGCUAACUACGUG
rnacentral:rRNA from 1 species